CUUUGUUUUGAAGAAGACAUUAUACAUGUUAUACACUGUAUUUCAUAUUUUUUGUUAAUCUGCUAUUUAUUCUGUUGGUGCUUAACCUAAUUUAGUUGUUCCCACAUUCAAAGCAGACUUUUUAUUUGCGUGCUUGGGGCAAUUAACGGCAAUUUUUACAGAGCAUCGUCUGUUUUUUUCAUCACCAACAGCCAACCUUGC
rnacentral:lncRNA from 1 species